CCUACGGGAGGCAGCAGUAAGGAAUAUUGGUCAAUGGGCGGAAGCCUGAACCAGCCAUGCCGCGUGCAGGAAGACGGCCCUAUGGGUUGUAAACUGCUUUUGUACCGGAAUAAACCCCCGAACGUGUUCGGGGCUGAAUGUACGGUAAGAAUAAGGAUCGGCUAACUCCGUGCCAGCAGCCGCGGUAAUACGGAGGAUCCGAGCGUUAUCCGGAUUUAUUGGGUUUAAAGGGUGCGUAGGCGGCCUGUUAAGUCGGGGGUGAAAGACGGUAGCUCAACUAUCGCAGUGCCCUUGAUACUGAUGGGCUUGAAUGUACUUGAGGUAGGCGGAAUGUGACAAGUAGCGGUGAAAUGCAUAGAUAUGUCACAGAACACCAAUUGCGAAGGCAGCUUACUAAGGUAUGAUUGACGCUGAGGCACGAAAGCGUGGGGAUCAAACAGGAUUAGAUACCCUGGUAGUCCACGCCCUAAACGAUGAAUACUCGAUGUUGGCGAUAUACGGCCAGCGUCUAAGCGAAAGCGUUAAGUAUUCCACCUGGGGAGUACGCCCGCAAGGUGAAACUCAAAUGAAUUGACGGCUGAGACGUGCGAGACGACGACGAGGGAGAGG
rnacentral:rRNA from 1 species